ACUCUGGGAUAAGCCUGGGAAACCGGGUCUAAUACUGGAUACGACCUUCCCGCGCAUGCGGUGUUGGUGGAAAGCUUUUGUGGUUUUGGAUGGACUCGCGGCCUAUCAGCUUGUUGGUGGGGUAAUGGCCUACCAAGGCGACGACGGGUAGCCGGCCUGAGAGGGUGACCGGCCACACUGGGACUGAGACACGGCCCAGACUCCUACGGGAGGCAGCAGUGGGGAAUAUUGCACAAUGGGCGCAAGCCUGAUGCAGCGACGCCGCGUGAGGGAUGAAGGCCUUCGGGUUGUAAACCUCUUUCAGUAGGGAAGAAGCUGGUCCUUUGGGG
rnacentral:rRNA from 1 species